ensembl:misc_RNA Y_RNA Y RNA
UAUUUGUUCAGGAAGGAAGCAUUAAAAACAAUUUUCCUUCCAAAUCACCACCAGUUACAGACUUCUUUUUUUCUCCUCCACUCCCACUGCUUCACUGGACAAGUCUUAA